AUCAGGGAAGUGGGGGAAAGCCAGCAGCCACAGGCCUCACCCAGUUCCCACACAGCCUGCAUCCUGAAAGGCUGGUCUCACUCCUACUGUGACCCCUCAACAGCACUGAAUUUACUUCCAGGCAGUUGGUGAGCAGGGUUGAGAACUUUCCCCAGGCUACAAGCCUCCGAGCUGAGAAAGCAAGCUACUCACAGCUCCUCAGCUUUUUAAUGUUUAUGCA